UACGUAGGGUGCGAGCGUUAAUCGGAAUUACUGGGCGUAAAGCGUGCGCAGGCGGUUCGUUAAGUCAGCUGUGAAAGCCCCGGGCUUAACCUGGGAAUUGCGGUUGAAACUACAGGGCUAGAAUCUGGCAGAGGGGGGUGGAAUUCCACGUGUAGCAGUGAAAUGCGUAGAGAUGUGGAGGAACACCGAUGGCGAAGGCAGCCCCCUGGGCUGAGAUUGACGCUCAGGCACGAAAGCGUGGGGAGCAAACAGG
rnacentral:rRNA from 1 species